AGAGUUUGAUCCUGGCUCAGAUUGAACGCUGGCGGCAGGCCUAACACAUGCAAGUCGAGCGGAUGAGUGGAGCUUGCUCCAUGAUUCAGCGGCGGACGGGUGAGUAAUGCCUAGGAAUCUGCCUGGUAGUGGGGGACAACGUUUCGAAAGGAACGCUAAUACCGCAUACGUCCUACGGGAGAAAGUGGGGGAUCUUCGGACCUCACGCUAUCAGAUGAGCCUAGGUCGGAUUAGCUAGUUGGUGAGGUAAAGGCUCACCAAGGCGACGAUCCGUAACUGGUCUGAGAGGAUGAUCAGUCACACUGGAACUGAGACACGGUCCAGACUCCUACGGGAGGCAGCAGUGGGGAAUAUUGGACAAUGGGCGAAAGCCUGAUCCAGCCAUGCCGCGUGUGUGAAGAAGGUCUUCGGAUUGUAAAGCACUU
rnacentral:rRNA from 1 species